rnacentral:rRNA from 1 species
UACGUAGGGUGCAAGCGUUGUCCGGAAUUAUUGGGCGUAAAGAGCUCGUAGGCGGUUUGUCGCGUCUGCUGUGAAAACUGGGGGCUCAACCCCCAGCCUGCAGUGGGUACGGGCAGACUAGAGUGCGGUAGGGGAGAUUGGAAUUCCUGGUGUAGCGGUGGAAUGCGCAGAUAUCAGGAGGAACACCGAUGGCGAAGGCAGAUCUCUGGGCCGUAACUGACGCUGAGGCGCGAAAGCUAGGGGAGCAAACGGG